rnacentral:rRNA from 1 species
CGCGUAGACGGUUUUGUAAGUCAGAUGUGAAAUCCCUGGGCGUCAACCUGGGAACUGCAUUUGAAACUGCAUGGCUAGAGUAUGGUAGAGGGAAGUGGAAUUUCCGGUGUAGCGGUGAAAUGCGUAGAUAUCGGAAGGAACACCAGUGGCGAAAGCGACUUCCUGGACCAAUACUGACGUUCAUGUGCGAAAGCGUGGGAGCAAACAGGAUUAGAUACCCUGGUAGUCCACGCCAUAAACGAUGACAACUAGAUGUUGGGAGGUCUGCCUCUCGGUGUCGCAGCUAACGCGUUAAGUUGUCCGCCUGGGGAGUACGGCCGCAAGGUUGAA